UUUCUACUCCCUCCGUCCGAAAAUACUUAUCAUCAAAAUGGAUAAAAAGAGAUGUAUCUAAAACUAAAAUACAUCUAGAUACAUUUCCUUUUAUCCAUUUUGAUGACAAGUAUUUCCGGACGGAGGGAGUAUUUG
rnacentral:pre_miRNA from 1 species